ensembl:rRNA 5S_rRNA 5S ribosomal RNA
GCCAGCAGCCAUAUCACUCUGCAACUCACAACUGGCAACCCACUGAAGCUUAGCAGGUGUGAGCCUGGUCAGUACCUGGAUGGGAGACCUCCUGGGAAAAACUAAGGUUGCUGCUGGAA